rnacentral:rRNA from 1 species
GACACUGUGUUUUGGAAUCUCAAUAAGAAUAAAAGAUUUACUACUAAAUCUGUAUAUGAAUGGUUGGAGAGGGAUUUAGCCGGUCCUAACUAUAAGUGGAUUUGGAAAGCUAGUAUCCCAUUGAAAAUCAAAAUAUUUCUGUGGCGGCUAUUUCAAAAUGCUGUGCUUACUCGGAAUAAUUUACAGAAGAGGAAUUGGCCCGGGAAUCUUGUUUGCUCUUUCUGCACUAAUAUGGAAACUGCAAAUCAUCUGUUCUUUACAUGUUCACUUGCUCGAACGGUCUGGUGA